rnacentral:rRNA from 1 species
AGUGAACGCUGGCGGUAGGCCUAACACAUGCAAGUCGAACGGCAGCACAGUAAGAGCUUGCUCUUACGGGUGGCGAGUGGCGGACGGGUGAGGAAUACAUCGGAAUCUACUUUUUCGUGGGGGAUAACGUAGGGAAACUUACGCUAAUACCGCAUACGACCUACGGGUGAAAGUAGGGGAUCUUCGGACCUUGCGCGAUUGAAUGAGCCGAUGUCGGAUUAGCUAGUUGGCGGGGUAAAGGCCCACCAAGGCGACGAUCCGUAGCUGGUCUGAGAGGAUGAUCAGCCACACUGGAACUGAGACACGGUCCAGACUCCUACGGGAGGCAGCAGUGGGGAAUAUUGGACAAUGGGCGCAAGCCUGAUCCAGCCAUACCGCGUGGGUGAAGAAGGCCUUCGGGUUGUAAAGCCCUUUUGUUGGGAAAGAAAAGCAGCAGGUUAAUACCCCGCUGUUCUGACGGUACCCAAAGAAUAGGCACCGGCUAACUUCGUG